rnacentral:tRNA from 1 species
GUGAGCGUAGCUCAACUGGUAGAGCUCCGGGUUGUGGUCCCGGCGGUUGCGCGUUCGAAUCGCGUCGCUCACCCA